GGGGGGACGCUUACCACUUUGUGGUUCAUGACUGGGGUGAAGUCGUAACAAGGUAGCGCUAGGGGAACCUGGCGCUGGAUCACCUCCUUA
rnacentral:rRNA from 2 species